rnacentral:rRNA from 1 species
GACGAACGCUGGCGGCGUGCUUAACACAUGCAAGUCGAACGGAGUGGCGAACGGGUGAGUAACACGUGGGUGACCUGCCCUGCAAUUCGGGAUAAGCCUGGGAAACAGGGUCUAAUACCGGAUAGUGUGGGAUGGGCCCGCGGCCUAUCAGCUUGUUGGUGGGGUAAUGGCCUACCAAGGCGGCGACGGGUAGCCGGACUGAGAGGGUGGACGGCCACCUUGGGACUGAGGCACGGCGCAGAAUCGUACGGGAGGCAGCAGUGGGGAGUCUUGCACAGUGGGCGGAAGCCUGAUGCAGCGACGCCGCGUGGGGGAUGCCGGCCUUCGGGUUGUAAACGUAUGUGACCAUCGACGCGGUAGAUGGAGAAGAAGCAACGGCUAACUACGUGCCAGCCGCCGCGGUAAUAC